CGCCGCGUGAGGUGACACGGCCUCCGGGUUGUAAACCUCUUUUAGUAGGGAAGAAGGGAGCAUCGGUUCUUGACGGUACCUGCAGAAAAAGCACCGGCUAACUACGUGCCAGCAGCCGCGGUAAUACGUAGGGUGCAAGCGUUGUCCGGAAUUAUUGGGCGUAAAGAGCUCGUAGGCGGUUUGUCGCGUCUGCUGUGAAAUCCCGAGGCUCAACCUCGGGCUUGCAGUGGGUACGGGCAGACUAGAGUGCGGUAGGGGAGAUUGGAAUUCCUGGUGUAGCGGUGGAAUGCGCAGAUAUCAGGAGGAACACCGAUGGCGAAGGCAGAUCUCUGGGCCGUAACUGACGCUGAGGAGCGAAAGCAUGGGGAGCGAACAGGAUUAGAUACCCUGGUAGUCCAUGCCGUAAACGUUGGGCGCUAGAUGUAGGGACCUUUCCACGGUUUCUGUGUCGUAGCUAACGCAUUAAGCGCCCCGCCUGGGGAGUACGGCCGCAAGGCUAAAACUCAAAGGAAUUGACGGGGGCCCGCACAAGCGGCGGAGCAUGCGGAUUAAUUCGAUGCAACGCGAAGAACCUUACCAAGGCUUGACAUACACCGGAAACGGCCAGAGAUGGUCGCCCC
rnacentral:rRNA from 1 species